rnacentral:rRNA from 1 species
UGGGGAAUAUUGCACAAUGGGCGCAAGCCUGAUGCAGCCAUGCCGCGUGUAUGAAGAAGGCCUUCGGGUUGUAAAGUACUUUCAGCGGGGAGGAAGGUGUUGUGGUUAAUAACCUCAGCAAUUGACGUUACCCGCAGAAGAAGCACCGGCUAACUCCGUGCCAGCAGCCGCGGUAAUACGGAGGGUGCAAGCGUUAAUCGGAAUUACUGGGCGUAAAGCGCACGCAGUCGGUCUGUCAAGUCGGAUGUGAAAUCCCCGGGCUCAACCUGGGAACUGCAUCCGAAACUGGCAGGCUUGAGUCUUGUAGAGGGGGGUAGAAUUCCAGGUGUAGCGGUGAAAUGCGUAGAGAUCUGGAGGAAUACCGGUGGCGAAGGCGGCCCCCUGGACAAAGACUGACGCUCAGGUGCGAAAGCGUGGGGAGCAAACA